AACGAACGCUGGCGGCAGGCUUAACACAUGCAAGCCGAACGCCCCGCAAGGGGAGUGGCAGACGGGUGAGUAACGCGUGGGAAUCUACCCAAAUCUACGGAACAACAGAGGGAAACUUCUGCUAAUACCGUAUACGCCCUAAGGGGGAAAGAUUUAUCGGAUUUGGAUGAGCCCGCGUAAGAUUAGCUAGUUGGUGGGGUAAUGGCCUACCAAGGCGACGAUCUUUAGCUGGUCUGAGAGGAUGAUCAGCCACACUGGGACUGAGACACGGCCCAGAAUCCUACGGGAGGCAGCAGUGGGGAAUAGUGGACAAUGGGCGCAAGCCUGAUCCAGCCAUGCCGCGUGAGUGAUGAAGGCCUUAGGGUUGUAAAGCUCUUUCACCGAUGAAGAUAAUGACGGUAGUCGGAAGAAUAAGCCCCGGCUAACUUCGUGCCAGCAGCCGCCGUAACAC
rnacentral:rRNA from 1 species